AUUGGUUUGUGGUGGAGUUUUUUUUAAUUGCUCUUGUAAAUCUUCUGCACAUACAUAACAAGGAUAAAACUUGGAAAAUGUGUGAAAGAACUUUGACAUAUCCAACUUUUGUUCAUCAGUUGGAUUAUCAGGGUAAUAUGCUGCCAUGGUGGAUCUUUCUUCUCUAUUUUCUCAGUUUCCUGACAUAAUAAAAUAUAUAUGUGAGAAUAAAUAAUUUAUUUCACAACAUAAAGUGUAAUACUAUUUUUCACCUUUUAGAAACUAAUCGGUAUUAGUUUUUAACAUUACUAUUAAAAAAAGAUAAUUUAUGUA